rnacentral:rRNA from 1 species
GGAAUAUUGGACAAUGGGCGCAAGCCUGAUCCAGCCAUGCCGCGUGCAGGAUGACGGUCCUAUGGAUUGUAAACUGCUUUUGCACAGGAAGAAACAACUCUACGUGUAGAGUCUUGACGGUACUGUGAGAAUAAGGAUCGGCUAACUCCGUGCCAGCAGCCGCGGUAAUACGGAGGAUCCAAGCGUUAUCCGGAAUCAUUGGGUUUAAAGGGUCCGUAGGCGGUCUUAUAAGUCAGUGGUGAAAUCUCCCCGCUCAACGGGGAAACGGCCAUUGAUACUGUAGGACUUGAAUUAUUAGGAAGUAACUAGAAUAUGUAGUGUAGCGGUGAAAUGCUUAGAGAUUACAUGGAAUACCAAUUGCGAAGGCAGGUUACUACUAAUGGAUUGACGCUGAUGGACGAAAGCGUGGGUAGCGAACAGGAUUAGAUACCCUUG